GGGUGGGGGCGCCCACGAGUCUGCAUUUCUGACAAGUCCAAGAGAUGCUGAGGCCUCCAGCCCUGGAUCCCACUUUGAGAACUGUUGAGUUUCUGGUGGGGAGGGACCCCACAGACACCUUCAGCCUCUCCAUGGGACUGGGGUCCAGAGGGGACCUCUUUGUAUCUUUUUUUUUUUUUUUUGGAAGAUUAGCCCUGAGCUAACAUCUUCCACCAAUCCUCCUCUUUUUUGCUGAGGAAGCCUGGCCCUGAGCUAACAUCUGUGCCCAUCUUCCUCUACUUUAUAUGUGGGACACCUACCACAGCAUGGCUUGCCAAGCCGUGCCGUGUCCGCACCCAGGAUCCAAACUAGUGAACGCCGGGCCGCCGAAGCGGAACGUGCACACUUAACCUCUGCGCCACCGGGCCAGCCCCACCUCUUUGUAUCUUGACUACGAUGUUCCUCUGUUUGAGUUUUCCUAAAGCCAUGUGCUGGUACACUCUGGGAUUUUAACGCCCUCCACGCCCCUUUCCAACAGGGUCUUUGGUCUCCAUCACGCUGCGUUAGUCAGCCCUUGUCCGUGGGUGUGAGAUGUUGGAGAAGCUGUGGCUGCCACUCAGCAAGCGUGGCAGUGGUUGAAAGUACAGCUCCGGAGUCAGGCGGGCCUGGUUUUGGGUCCUGCCUCUGCCCUCUCUUAACCAUGCAGCCAUGACAGGCACCUUCUUUUCAUCUGAUUACAAAAUCCAGCAUUUCAGGACUGGGCUUUUGCCAAAACAAAAGGCAAGUAUGAACAUUCGUCCUGCUGGUCCAGUGAGCAUCUGAAGAAUUCAAGUGUUUUAAAAUAAUGUGCAUUUUCUAAACCCUGGAGUAUACCUUUUAUUCAAAGUCAGUGGGCUGGAUUGAAUUUCCUGCAAGUAUUUGUGCUCUCUGACUGCUAGCUCUUCAAGCAGGGGAGUCUGUGUGUAAAUGCAUCGCUUCCUGAUGAAGCAAGAGGAGGGACCCGAAACGUUGCCAGAAAUGUUUACUGUGUAACCAAGACAUGGACGUGUGUACAGCGUCACAAUUAUCAACAGAAUCACACUGUGUGCACAAUACCCAGAACGACAUAAAUAUUUUCAUUUGUCUAAGCUAGAAAUCCAUGUAAAUUGCAGCUUCCUUGUUGACACAGAUGUGUGUGAACCUCGUUUCCACAGUCUGGCGUGCCAGUUGCUGAAGGACUGUGGCUCUUCCUUAAAGUGAUCUGCCCUCGAAGAACCCAUAGCCUUCAGGACCCGCUGCGUGCCUUACACGGCUGGUGAACACCAACGCUGGAAGUCAGGAAGGAGGGAGUGCCGGGAGUGGGUUUGGAGGCAUGUGACAUUAAUCUACAUUUCCCAUCACCCCAUCAUUGAAACCUUAAGAUGGCUUGUGUGUUUUAACACAGUAAUGGAUUUAUGUUUAGGCUCAGGAAAAUCAAGGUGUAAAUAUAUGUAUCAAAUCAUAUAUUUGUUUACUGUAUAUUUUUAAAAGCUUUACUGUAAAUUUAUGCAAAAACCAAUUAGGACUCGUUUUUCUCCUGGCACCAUGCCGGGGCAGCAUUUGUGUUCUCUGAAGCAAUUCCUUAAUAACCACAUUCUAAACGUGAUAUUCUGUUCAGUGCUAAACAGUAUUUACAGGCCUAAAAUAGGUUUGUAUGGUGAUCAACUACAAAAUUUUACACAUAUUUUUGUAUUGUGAUUCCUAUGAUAUAUACCAGAGAAUUUUUACUUAUUUGUAAGUUACUGUACAGUUUUAAUAAAAAAAAGAUUGUUUUAAAUCUUAGAAUAUCAAAGUUCCCCUCCUCACAAGGCAUUAAAGUUUGGAC
ensembl:lncRNA